rnacentral:rRNA from 1 species
UACGUAGGGGGCUAGCGUUGUCCGGAAUCAUUGGGCGUAAAGCGCGUGUAGGCGGCCCGGUAAGUCCGCUGUGAAAGUCGGGGGCUCAACCCUCGGAUGCCGGUGGAUACUGUCGGGCUUCGAGUACGGAAGAGGCGAGUGGAAUUCCUGGUGUAGCGGUGAAAUGCGCAGAUAUCAGGAGGAACACCAAUUGCGAAGGCAGCUCGCUGGGACGUUACUGACGCUGAGACGCGAAGCGUGGGAGCAAACAGG